ensembl:lncRNA
GGGCGGUAGCGAUGAGGCUUCUUCACGCCACCCGUGGCUGGAGCGCUCUUGCGAGCUGCUUUAGUCGCCAGCUGCUUGCGCGGUGCUUUACCGCCUGUGGAUUUACGAGCGGUCUGCUUAGUACGCGCCAUACCUCACCUGCAAAGUAAGUGGGUUAGGAAAAUUGGUUUACCCCUCUAUUUAUAUAGGAACAGGAUCACUCUGAUUGGAUUGUGGACAAUCCCUGUUAGUGAUCGGUUGCUAAAUUCCGGAUGUGCUCGGAGCGAUUCACGAUUGGUUUAUUUUUUCAGUGCAAGAUUCUGAUUGGUAAAUUUGGAUAGAGCCCUGGCUCCUUUAAACAAGUUGUUUUUUUUUGUUACAGGUAUCUUUGAUGUUUUGCAUACAGCAUGACCUGCAAAGACAUUUAUCAUUUAACUUAAAUGACUGACCUUUUAUCCUGUUUAGCUAUAAAAAAAUCGAAUGUGUUUGAAUUAGAAAAUGCUUUAGAAUUUUUUUUCAACAAUCUCCGCUGCUUUGUUCUGCUUAAUUUUCCUGAAGUUUUCCCCUUCCCUAUCCACUCAUUUAAAAUCCGUCGUCUAAGUAUCUCUCAAUGAGUCCUCGUUUCAUUAGGGAGUAUAGCUAAUUCAUUCAAACAAGGUUUUCUAAGAUACACUGUUUACACAUAAGGAACUUUGUGUUUCAUUUGUGUUAGAGUAAAAUUCUAACAUCUUGGAAUCCCUACCUCUGUAAUAUCAGGUUUGACUCAAAUCAUUUAACGGUAUUAUUUUGUUUUGUUGAAAUUAAAAUGUCCAGACAUAAUGGCAAGAGCCGUCAAAAAAAGGUAUUUUCAGUAUAGAAUCUUGAAAAAGAUGGCGGCGAAGAGAGUCUUAGAAGGUUGUUUCUUUAUAAGACAACAAUGGCGCAGUUUCUCUAGAUCCCUGCGGGAGAGAACUGAGGUGCCCUGAACAAUUUAAGACACGUCCAACAGAACUUUUAUAGGACCGGACUCACCCAAAUAACAGGACUUCUUAACUUGGUUUUCGCUUCCAAACUCAACAGCUCCCAAUUACUUUGAAAAUGUUAACAAAUGUUUACUGGAAAAGAUUCUUAAGGAAUGACAUUAUAGCCUAACACAGUGUUUUAAAUCAACCUAUCGGGUUCCCUGUAAGGUGUUCUUUUCCUAGCCAAUAAAAAGAGCAGUUUGGGAAUUCUUAAUUUACAUACUUUUAAUCUAUUGGCUACUUUGGUUCAGGCAGAGUUUAGAUUUACAAGUUCGCGUUUGUGUAACAGUACAUUUCAGAAAGGGAUAGUGCGCAUGCGCGCCUGUUGCGAGGUCUAGUUUCUUUUUGUUUUUCUUUCCUAUUAGGUUUUCUUUCUUAUUGGAAAGCUGUUUUGUAAAGUGUUGUAGCAGGUCCGCAAUGACGCUGGCAUGUAGUCCAAGGAGACUGACAUCAUGAAUAUGCUGGAGCCCCCGUCCUCCAGGGAGGGGAGACGGCCAAACCAAAUUUCUCGCUGCCCGCAAAUGCCUGCGGAUGCCUGCAAGCUGGAGGGGGGGAGGAGACAAAGAAUGUUUUGUGCAUUCCUGUUCAUUCCUUGAAUUCUGUUAAACCUGCCCUAUUUUAGGGCAUUCAUCAAAAUUCUGCUAACCACAGAUUGAUACAAUUGCACCUUUCAAGUUAGUGUCUAUUUUGCAAAUUUGAAUUAUCUUAGGACUCAUGGGCAAGUCUUGACUGAAGUUACACGUUGUCACGCGUUUCAGUCUCACAUCUGAAAUAUAUGAGUCCCUUGCUUCUCUCCUUUUCAGAAAAAGAAACUUCUGUACACUUUAAAUCAUGGUAAAACGGUUAGAUAUGUUGGCAAAAUGGUUUUAUAAGAAGCAAGUAAAGAACUGAAAUCCUUUUGUACAAUAUGAUCACAUAUCUGUGGGCUGGGCUGUUUGUUAAUGAGAGCUAUGCCCUCUCUAUGCUUUUCCUCUCCACACUCCCUACAUGUCAUCUUCUGAGGUCCAAGGCCUGUUUAUUGAUAUUAUCUUCUGUUUUCUCAUUUUCAUUUUACUUUUUUCAUUUCUAUUAUGAGAAUGUUUAUAUCUACAACUAAAAAAUGUUUCCAAAAUCAAAAGAUACACUUUAGGUUAAAGGUUCAAAACACAGUCAGUGAGAACCAUUAAGGAAAUUCCAUCUUUAUGCCCCACAGUUUGAUUUCCUCCCCAGUGUUCUUAAAUCUGUGAAUCCGGUGUUUUGCCAUCUGAAGCUACCUUCAGUUCCUUUCAUAAUCCUCAUCUCUAAAUAUGUGUAAAGCUUUAUUUUAGAACUCAGUGCAAAGUUUACCUGAUUACAUAAGAACUUACCAGCUCACUUGUAUUAAUCAGUAAUUUCUAUCAUUAUCUCCAUACUUGAACACAAUUUCCCGUAGGAUCUGUGUUUUGUGAUAAAACAGUCAGAAACCAGUUGUGGCUACUGAGCAUUUGAAAUGUGGCUGUUGCUGCUGAGGACUGACUUUCUUUUAUUUGAGGAGUCUUGCUCUGUCACUCAGGAUGGAGUGCAGUGGCAUUAUUUCAGCACACUAUUACCUCCACCUCCUGAGUUUAAGCGAUUCUCCUGCCUCAGCCUCCAGAGUAGCUGGAAUUAGAGGUGCUGGUCACCACGCCCGGCUUAUGUAUUUGGGGGGCGGGCGGGGGGGAGGUAUUUUUAGUAGAAACGGGGUUUCACCAUUUUGGCUCAGCUGGUCUGGAUCUCCUGACCUUAAGUAACCCGUCCGCCUUGGCCUCCCAAAGUGCUGGGAUUACAGCCAUGAGUCACCGUGCCAGGCCUGAAUUUUUAUUGUACUUAUUUUUCGUUAUUUUAUUUCAAAAGCUGAUACUCCAGUUAUUGGAAAAUGUUAGAUAUGUUUUGAACAAUCACAUAUAUGAAUUUAAUUCUACAGCAUUGAAGUUUAUGAAAUCACAAUGAAAUUCCAUUUACUUCCAACAAACAUUUAAUACCAAAUUUAAUAGGAUGUCCCUCAUAUUUAGAAGACUUAAGAUUUAAAAAAGAAUGUGAAAUAUUGCAUUAAUAAUGUUUUUAUAUUGACUAUAUUUUGAAAUAAUGAUUUUGUAUUUUGGGUUAAAUAUAAUAAUUGUUAAAAUUCUUUUACCAGUUUAUUAAUUUUUAAAGUGUGCUUACUGGAAAAAUCAACAUUACAUAUGCAGCUUGUAUUAUUCUUUUUUAUUUUAUUCUUAUUUUUUGAGGCAGUGCCUCGCUCUGUCACCCAGGCUGUGGGAUUACAGGCACCAGCCACCACGCCCAGCUAAUUUUGGUAUUUUUAGUAGAGACGGGGUUUCACCAUUUUGGCCAGGUUGAUCUCGAACUUCUGACCUCAGGUGAUCUGCCUGCCUCGGCCUCCCAAAGUGCUGGCAUUACAAGCGUGAGCCACCGCAUCUGGCCGUGGCUUGUGUUAUUCUUUAUAAACAGCAUUGUUCCAGGAUUCUCCAUUUCUCUUCUCUGUUUCUUGAUUCUUUACCAAAUCUUGACAGCAAACGCCUUGAAACAAUGAGGAUAUUCAAUAUACUUCUAUGAACCCAGUUAUAGCAUCUGGACUUAAUCUACAAUAAGUAUCUAUAUCUACAUCUACAUGUCUAUACAGUUGUGUUAGGGAACUAAGGGGGCUUGUUAAACCAUUACUCAUUGAGGCAAGAAGAGGUGGGUAACUGGCAAAAUUAUUGAUGUUUGAAUUUUUCCAUGGCAAAAUAUCAGUAAGUGAACAGUAGUAGAAAUUCUUUUAGCCAGGCACAGUGGCUCAGGCCUAUAACGCCAGUGACCCAGGAGGCUGGGGUAGGAGGAUUGCUUGAAGCUAGGAAUUUGAGGCUCCAGUGUCAUAAUUGUGACACUGCACCCCAGUCUGGGCAACAGAGCAAGACCAAAAAAUGAAAAAAAAAAAAAAAA